UUGGCCUUGACAUACUAAGAACUUUCCAGAGAUGGAUUGGUGCCUUCGGGAACUUAGAUACAGGUGCUGCAUGGCUGUCGUCAGCUCGUGUCGUGAGAUGUUGGGUUAACGUCCGCAACGAGCGCAACCCUUUUCCUUAUUUGCCAGCGGGUCAUGCCGGGAACUUUAAGGAUACUGCCAGUGACAAACUGGAGGAAGGCGGGGACGACGUCAAGUCAUCAUGGCCCUUACGGCCAGGGCUACACACGUGCUACAAUGGUCGGUACAAAGGGUUGCUACCUCGCGAGAGGAUGCUAAUCUCAAAAAGCCGAUCGUAGUCCGGAUCGCAGUCUGCAACUCGACUGCGUGAAGUCGGAAUCGCUAGUAAUCGCGGAUCAGAAUGCCGCGGUGAAUACGUUCCCGGGCCUUGUACACACCGCCCGUCACACCAUGGGAGUUUGUUGCACCAGAAGUAGGUAGUCUAACCGCAAGGAGGACGCUUACCACGGUGUGGCCGAUGACUGGGGUGAAGUCGUAACAAGGUAGGCGUACUACA
rnacentral:rRNA from 1 species